GUGGGGAAUCUUGCGCAAUGGGCGAAAGCCUGACGCAGCCAUGCCGCGUGAAUGAUGAAGGUCUUAGGAUUGUAAAAUUCUUUCACCGGGGACGAUAAUGACGGUACCCGGAGAAGAAGCUCCGGCUAACUUCGUGCCAGCAGCCGCGGUAAUACGAAGGGGGCUAGCGUUGCUCGGAAUUACUGGGCGUAAAGGGCGCGUAGGCGGACAGCUUAGUCAGAGGUGAAAGCCCAGGGCUCAACCUUGGAAUUGCCUUUGAUACUGGCUGUCUUGAGUUUGGGAGAGGUGAGUGGAACUCCGAGUGUAGAGGUGAAAUUCGUAGAUAUUCGCAAGAACACCGGUGGCGAAGGCGGCCAACUGGUCCAUUACUGACGCUGAGGUGCGAAAGCGUGGGGAGCAAACAGGAUUAGAUACCCCUGUAGUCC
rnacentral:rRNA from 1 species